GACUUUUAUUUGGUCCAGGGAAGGGGACUCCCAAUCUGAGCUCAGCCGGCUGUACGUCCGGACUGGACGUUUUCAGUACUGUGUCCUGAGGCUGGGGGUGUCUCAGGGUCCACUGCGGGGAAUUAUUCUAUGUGCUACCAAAGCAAGCACAGCGGGAAAUUAAUAACACAGUACCGGGGGUGCCUGGGUGGUUCGGUGGGUUAAGCAUCCGACUUCAGCUCAGGUCAUGAUCUCGUGACUCAUGAGUUCGAGCCCCGCGUCGGGCUCUGUGCUGACAGCUCGGAGCCUGGAGCCUGCUUUGGAUUCUGUGUCUCCCUCUCUCUCUGCCCCUACCUUGCUCACACUCUGUCUCUCUCAAAAAUAAAUAUUUAAAAAAUUUAAAACAAAAAAAAAACAAGUGCAAAAGCCCCGCCCCCCCCCCCUGGAGAGGACCAGGCAACUCCAUCCACCUGACUUGGGAAGCAAUCCCAACAUACCCUGGGGUAUCAGGUGAGGUGAAUUUGGCAAAGAGAAAGUCCUGGUUUAUCAAGACGCUGCAACACAGCGGGAAACCUCUCCACAUGGGGACAGUAUUUUUACAGCAUAGCCCAGAUGCUGCCAGCACUCCAGCAUUCCUGCUAAUGAAUAAUUGGUGGUUUCUGAUGUGAUUGGCCCUGGUGUAAAUCAUUAUCAAACAAUACCUUCCUUAAAUAACUGUCGAAAUGACAACUCCCCAUUCUUACUUAAAACAAACUUCUAUAACUUUUCACACCUGUGCAAGCCUGUUUAUUGGCUAAAUUCCUGCUUGUCACCCUUUCAAGGGAUCUUUAAAGAACUCUAGCGGAGUUCUUUAGCCUGAAAACCCAGUCCUUAGUUUUUACUAGUCUUAGCAAGCAGUUGCUUGUGGAAUAUGGGGUUUAUGAUAAACUAGCAUUUCAUUUGGAACAAUAGUACCACACAGGCAAAAAGCAAAGUGAAUUCCUGGUGCCUGCAUUGUCCAGAUACUUAAGUCCCCGCGCUUGACUUUGCUGUGGCAAGUUGGUCUGAAGAGUAAAUUGGGAACACAGUCUCACCUUCCCGAUGCCUUGCUCCAAAACUCGGGUGUCCUCCUUCUUUUUGGAAUGAAAAUCAGGAGGGAGCCAGUUAGCUAAGAUGGCUUACCAAGUGCAAGUUUUGCAAAGCCAGCCUGCCACCACAACAUUCAGCCACUUGAGGGCACAAUUUGCUCACUUUCUAGGUGUAGACACACCUAGUUAUUUUUUUCCAUUUCAAAGCAGAUGGAGUCUUGAUUUAUUAAAGGAAAACACAGCUUUUUUUUUUUUUUUUUUUUGGCUCUUGAAGCACAGGAUCAAGAAAAACUGGAAAGUAUCCCCAUGUCCCGGAAGAUGGCUAUUGUGAUUUUUUGCAGAGACAAGUAUUCUAACCUGUCAACAUCUGCCUUCUUUCCUUAGUCAUGACCUUAGAAAUCUGGCACGUUUCGAAUCACUAUGUUGUGCAUCUAAAACUUAGGUAACAUCGUGUGUCCACUCUACUCAGAAAAAAUUCUUUUAAAGAAAGGACGUGAGUGAGACAGUAAUGAACUAGUGUCACAGAGGGUUCUGUGUUCGGAAAUGUCACUGAUGCCACAUGUCACAGCCCCACAUUUGUCUCUGGUUUAUACUCAUUCCUUUUGUGUCCACUAAGUGUUAGUGUGAGCGUCCUACUGAAAGAUCCCGUUCCGUGCACUGAACAAUGGUGAAAGUCAUUUUUCCUUUGGAUCCUUCAUACAGCGCUCGGCAGACAGGCUGGUGCAGCGUCCUGUUUGGACACAGACGGGCAGCGUAAGGUGGAUGGGGCAGAAGCAUCAGGGAAAUGGUAAUGAAAGUGAGACCCAUCUGGGCCCACGUUUGAUGAUGAUGAUGAUGGUGAUGUUGAGCAGUCGGCCCAGAUUAGAAGGAGCCUCCUAAAAUUCGAGAAGCCUGGUUUCUUUGAUUUCUAGACUCUUAUUUCUUUUAUUAUUAUUUUCACAUGCGUUCUUUGAAGUGGCUUGUCCUCUGAUGACAUAUCCUUCAGAGAAUUGUUCCCUCUUACUUCCUGCAUCGUGCAGGGGGACCGUGCAGGGGGAAACAUCUUCUCUCCUCUGUAGCUUUUUCACCCUCAGUUCUGACUUUGUUGUGUACUUGAUACAUGAUCUAAAGGUACAGGUUCAUCCACUCUCUGCCAGACAUGUUUGGCCAUCUCUAAAGCAGAGGUAUUUAAAAAAAAAAAUUACUUAUGUUUAUUUAUUUUUGAGAGAGACAGAGUGUGAACGGGGGAGGGGCAGAGAGAGAGGGAGACACAGAAUCUGAAGCAGGCUCCAGGAUCCGAGCUGUCAGCACAGAGCCCGACACAGGGCUUGAACUCACGAAUGGUGAAAUCAUGAUCUGAGCCAAAGGCAGCCACUUAACCUGAUUGAGCCACCCAGGGACCCCUAAAGCAGAGGUGUUUUAACAACCCUCCAUAAUAAUGGACGUCCUGUGCUUUCUGGGCCUCAGACCUCACCCUUGGCCUUUCUCAGCAGAAGUCACAAUGCCCUGAGGCCAAAUGUUAGACGCUGUGUUAGGGUCUUCCCAGGGGACAACGUGGGUACCGGUUGGGACAAGGCUGGCUAGCCCCAUAACACAAAGUGAAAUAUAUUUUAUUUCAAAUUUUACUGAUUUAGAUUCAGCUAUUUACUGAUAGGUAAGCAGGGAAGGACUGAGUGUUCCAGUGUAAUGUAAUUUUUGAAAAUUAUACAGUCAGAUUUCUUGGAUAUUUACCACUAAAAAAAUGAAUUUCACAUACCCACCAACCUAAAUACCAAAAAGGUGAUAAAACCAAAAAUGUGCCCGUUCCACCUCAUUUGUUUUAUGUUCUUUGUUUGACAACCUUCAGGAGGUAAACUGGGAUCCAUGCAGCUGUGUAGAAAUAGCCAUCUUAUAGUUCACUAAGGAUGACAGUCGAGGAAUUCCACUUCCUGGCUCAUUUGAAUGGUUUUAAAGAGAUUUCCAGGCCUCAGGCUAAAAAUUAGACAUUUAGCAAUAAGAACAUCUCAAAGCUCAUGUCUCAGCUUUUCCUAGAGUUUCUGUUUUUCUUUUUAAUUACUUAUUUAUUUUUAGGGGAGAGGGGCAGAGAGAUAGGGACAGGUAAUCCCAAGAAGGCUCUAUGUAGACAGAUCCCAGGAACCAUGAGAUCGUGACUUGAGCCGAAAGGAAGAGCCAGUGGCUUAACCUGCUGAGCCGCCCAGGUGCCCGAGCUUCAGGUUUUAAAACCUUCACACCUGUGCUUCCUUUUGGCCCUGGCCACUUUCUUCUUGAGGGUGACAUGGGUGGUGUUUUCUCUCUCAUCAGGGUCCCAAGACCAGUGCAACAGCCUUUCUGAGAUCCCUUCUUGGGUCCAAAGACAGGAAGCAGACCAGCUGUGGCUAGAUUUACAUCGCUGCCAUGUCGGGCUGCCAGUUCACACCCCCUAGGGUCACACACACACACACACACACACACACACUCUAUACUCCAUUUCACCUUUGAGAAAAUUGAGAAAGAGACAAACCCAAAAACCUUGGCUCCUCCCACGCUCGGAGUUCUGUUCUCUCUUGUCCCCAUUCAUCCCCAGCCUUUACAUAUCCCGGUUGCAAAACUUUUUGCUUCACCAUCGUUGAGCCGCAUGCUGCCAAAGGACACAUCACCCAGGACACUUGGGUGCUGCUGUAAUUCUCCCGUAACAUCAGUGAGAUGUGCCUAGUGAGGAGAGGAAGAGGGAAGGGAGGUGAUCCGUUCUCCUGGGAUGGACUUUCUCCCGCUGUCCUCACCAGCCAACCCAUGCGUGGCGGAGUGGACUGACCGAUGGCUCCUUUUGCUUUUGUAAAGAACAAACAUCAAAUUAGUGGUCUGUCCUGGCUUUGUGAAAAAGCAAACCGAGAACACUUAGGCUCCCCAGGCCCCCUUCCAGCCAAGAUUUUGACACUGGUAAAACUUCGUUGAGACCAAACCUGAGGAGCAACUUUAAUGGGGACAAAUGGGAGGAAGUGUCUUUACCAAACAGGACCAUUCAGCCUGAAGGGAGGCUUCUGUGGUGCCAAGGAAAAGUACCCAUGAUCACAGUCAAGAGACUCUCGGUUUUCUCAUCUGUAAAAUGGGAUACCUCUGGGAUACUUGGGGAGAUGAAUAGAGACUUUACGCAUGAACGUGCUUUGUGAAAUGUAAACCGCUCUAUAAUACGCCUCUUAAUUGUUUUACUUGUGUUAAGUGUUUGCGUUUAACCUGAUCAUAAACUCCUUGAGGGUAGUACGUUGCUCCCUGAUUCAGGACCUAACGCUGUUUAUGCAAGUGGUGGAACCCGCUCGCUCCCUAAAUGCUCUUGGUACUGGCAUGUGGGAGGGGUAGAGGCAGAUUGGUUUUUAGCUGAUUCGCCGGUAUUUUGCUCUGGUGGCAGGUUGGUGGCAUCUGGGAGCCAGCUGCGUCCCUCAUGUCUCUAGCGCCCCGAUUAUCUCCUCUGCAAGGCACUGGUACAGCCAGGUAACUUCCCCAGCUUGCCUUGUGGGGUCUGUCUCUGAGAUUCAACUCCAAGCAGGUGCCCGGGGAAGGCGUGACUCUUGUGGGAAGGUUUUGAUGUGAUCUCCUCAUUGGGGAUUGGGUUGGACCUACCACUUGGAUUGGAAGACAUCAGUCUUCCCAUAGUCUUGUUUCAGAAGGUUAGCCCUGGUCUUGUGAAGGUCAGGAGAGCAGACAGUUGAUGACUAACUUUGAUACUAUUACGGCUGGAAAAGAGGCCCUAUUUCUUUCGUACCCCUGGAGGGGCUCCUUUCUCACCAAUCAUCGAAAAUGAAAGAUCGUCUGCAAUUCUUUUAAAUGCCGUGAAGCUGGCAUUGAAACCGCCCAUUGGUAACUCACGUAAAAUUUUUUUAUAUUCCCAUUGUUUUCUUCACGGUUUUUCUUCCCUGGUCCUGGAAUUCAGGCCAGGCCGUAUUUGACGAGUUAGAUUCUGUGUGGAUGACGUAGCAGACUCUGAGUUUUUAGGAUUUACUCAGCAGGCAGGGCCACGUUCAGCGAAUGGCAUUGACAGAGUGGAAUAGAGGGGGGGCUUGUGAAGAGUGGAAAGUUUCCCUCGUGAUGUCCAGGGUCUGUUGACGCAUCAGGACGGGAUGGUGGGCACACUGUCUGGUAAAGAUAUUCCAACCAAAGUUCCUGGCCAGUUCGCUAGCGAUAGUGAGUGUCAGGCGAACCCUUUCUUUUUGCACGGUACCCAUGUAGAGCUUUCCCUGUGAGGAUCAGGAACUUGCCAGAAAUUUAGCAGUUACCUAAUACGUGAUUCUGUAGACAUGUCAGCACCUCCCAGCAGUUUCCCUGCUUGAUUCGUGGAUAUUGGGUGUGUGUGGCCAUUUGUAGAAAGUCGUGGAGGAAGACACCUGCAGCGGGAGUGAUGUUUGAUGUUGCUAAGUGUGAACCCCAAGGCGGGUCCAGGGCAGAGGUGGGUGGGGGAGGCCAGACGCACAGCUCUGGAGGUGGUGCCUCCAAAGUCGUUGAGACCCCUACGUGUCCCUCUGAGGUCGCUGAUUUUUCCAGGGACUGCAGUAGCUGGUGUUGUCACAGAAUCGCUGUAGUACUGAGCACAACGCCACCACGACAGAUAAACGGGAGCGGGCCACCUGCUGAUUUCAUGAAGUCUCGAGUGUCUUCUCCCAGAGUCACAUUGAAAGGAACCCAAACUCUGGCCUGGGAAUCCGUGUCUCUGGCCAGCAGCCAGGGUGCUGACUCUGUGUGUCUCCAGGGCAAGGAGAGGUGCAGCCCAUGACAAUGACAGUUGCCUCAGCCCUCCUAGUGGUCUGGGGAUGGGCACAGACCAUCACACUGGUGAUGAGCCUGGGGAUUGAGAACUCCUCCCUACCCUCCCUUCUCACCCCUGCCUCGGAGCACCAUACCUGUCCUUUGAAAAGCUUGCACACCUAGCAGAACUGGUCUCCUUUGAAUGAUGUUGACACGUUCAUCUGGCCACUAUGCUGGGGCCACCUGCCACAUGCCAGGCACCGUGCUUGGUGCUGAAAGAGACCAGGAGUGACGCCUCUCUUUGGAGGCAUAGCCCCGGUCUCCUAAGAGACACCGGAACCACUUACAAAAAUGCCAACCCGCUGACAGCCAUGCAUGCAACUUUGUCCUAUAGCCACCUUGAGAUAUUUGCAAGUUCCCUCACAUCCAAAACCCAGACAAGCCUCCUCUCUCCCAAGCACCCAAAGCAGGUGUGUGUUCAUAGAGGGAGCUGGGGGGGGCGGGGCAUCGGGACGAUUUAUGUCUUCAUAGACCCCCAACUGCAUUACUUUCUUCCCCCACCCAAACCAAGGGAUCUGACAAUAUUAAAACCCAUCAGAGGGUGCCUGAGAGGCUCAGUCCAUUGGGUGUCCAACUUCGACUCGGGUCAUGAUCUCACGGUCCGUGAGUUUGAGCCCCGCGUUGGGCUCUGUGCUGACAGCUCAGAGCCUGGAGCCUGCUUCGGAUUCUCCCUCUCUCUCUGUCCAUCCCCCACUCAAGCUCUCUCUCUCUCUGUGUGUCUCAAAAAUAAAUAAACAUUAAAAAAAAAACAUCAGGAACGAUGCAGCAAGCGUUUUAAUGAAUAGUAUUGACUUACUGGCUGGGAUUUUUUGUUUUCUUUUUGAAUGGGUGGGGGACUAAAUAAAGUCUCUGCCCCAAACCAAAGGAAAAAAUAAAAAAGUCAGUUGUAGCCACAGCAGAGAUUGGAAAUUUUCUGGUAUGUGUAGGUAUUUUUGUCAGCUGGGCAGAUUUGUUCUAGGAAAGUAUGUGCAAAGCCUGGAAAAAAUGUGCUCCUUCUGUGCUUUAAAAGAACAUACAAGUUGGUUCAUGUUCAUCAGCCACGUGACAGUCCUGUCCGGUGGUCUCCUAAAAAAUGCAGCCCGGUCCGGAUUUUGCCUCAAAACAGUCUUUAAAGCCUGAAUUUUAAGGCUUUUACAAAGCCAAAGAUUAUUGAAAUGCUUGUUCUGUUUUUAGUUGGGGAAGCUUUCAUUAAAAAUUUGCUGUGUUAGGGAAGAAGGAAGGAUGUUUGUGGUCAGUACUUCUGGGCACUCUUCUUACCUUUUACCCGACCUGUCACAGCCUGCUGAAGAGACAUUAAUUAAUUCAGGUAAUGGAAUCAGAAGUAGACCCAAACAAAAAUUAUUGAUUUAUGUUUAUUUAUUUUAAAUUUUUUUUAAAUAUUUAUUUUUGAGAGAGAGAGAGAGACAGAGACAGCAUGAGUUGGGGAGGGGCAGAGAGAGAGGGAGACACAGAAUGUGAAGCAGACUCCAGGCUCCGAGCUGUCAGCACAGAGCCCGACACGGGGCUCGAACCCAUGAACCGUGAGAUCAUGACCUGAGCCGAAAUCAGAUGCUCAACCAACUGGGCCACCCAGGCAUCCCUGAUUUAUGAUGUUAGUAAUUCUCUAAUUUUUAUCCUUAGUUGGAGAUUAGAUUGAUGCCAAAAAGGCUCUUUCAAUAUUAAGAACCUUAUCUGAUAGGUCGUCAUUAUAUUAUAUUCUUUAGGCGAGGAGGAUAACUCUGAGAUCCAGUCAAGAGGCAGAAAUUUUAUAAGGUGUAAAGCAAUGUUUAAAGGAAUCACAUGUUUGGGGCACCUGGGUGGCUCAGUCGGUUGAGCAUCUGACUGGCUCAUGUCACGAUCUCACAGCUCGUGGGUUCGAGCCCCACGUCGGGCUCUGUGCUGACAGCUCAGAGCCUGGAGCCUGCUUUGGAUUCUGUGUGUGUGUCUCUCUCUCUGUCCCUAACCCACUCGCAUUCUGUCUCUGUCUCUCUCAAAAAUAAAUAAACAUUAAGAAAAAAUUAAAAAAAUAAAUAAAGGAAUCACGUGUUUAAAUGUCAGCAAAUACCUGACCUAUGCUUUUUAAAACCAUAUGCAACAAACAGGGGCUCACGGGUGGCUCAGUCGGUUAAGCGUAUGACUCCUGAUUUCAGCUCAGGUCAUGUCUCCCGGUUUGUGAGAUCGAGCCCCACUUCGGCCUCUGCAUUGACAGUGAGGAGCCUGCUUGGGAUUCUCUUUCUCCCUCUCAAUGCCUCUGCAUCCCCCCACCACCUCUCCCUCUCAAAAUAAAUAAAAAACAUUUUUUUAAGAAAUCAGCAGGCACUCCUGAUCUCACAGUCCAUGUGGUUUGUCCAGGUGUGGCUUAGCUGGGUGCCGCUGACUCUGGGCUCUCAAAGGCCACAGUCAAGAUGGCAGCCAAGGCUGCGGUCACUCCAUGAGUCAACUAGGGAAGGAUUCGCUUCCACGCUUACUCGUGUGGCUGUUGACAGGAUUCAGUUCCUCUUGGAUUGUAAAGGCUUUAGUUCCUUGCUAGCUAUUGGCAAGCAGCCUCCUUGAAUAUUUUACUGUGUUUGUCUUUCCAUUGGGCAGCUUAACAACAUGGCAGUUGGCUUCCUCAUAAUAAGCAGGAGAGAGACUCUGUGUGUAAGCAAGACAGAAGCCAGAGUCUUUAUAUAAAACUGACCUCCAAAGUGACAUCCUGUGACUUCUGCUGUGUUCUCUUGGUUAGAAACAAGUCACUGGGUCCAGCCCACACUCAAGGGGAGGGUAUUACGCAGGGCAAGAAUACCAGGAGGCAGGGGUUCCUGAGAGCCAUCUUGGAAGCUACUACCCCAGUUUGGAGCAAACUACAAAAGCUGGGGUGCUCCAGUUGUGUGAAUUUGAAGGAGUCUAAAGAGGUAGAAAGAGGAGUGACAGAGGGCGGAGUACCCCUGUGGAUGCUGAGGACACCACUUGCCGUGGAGAAUCUUCCGGUCAGCCUGGUAUGUUUCCAGGACAUCUGCAAUAUGUCGCUCCCUAGUAGAAAAACAACCACUUCUUGACAGAUCCUCAAAGGUGAGAAGAGUCUCCAUGCCUGCCCCUCAGUAACCCACACUCCAAAAAACAAGUCUGCAAUAUAGGAAGAAAAAAAAAUUUUGUUACGGGGUUUAAAACCAAUAAUCCCAAGUUUUCUUAGAAUCGGUAGUGAGGAAUACCCUGAAGCUAUACAUAUGAGGGAGUGUGUUCACUUUUCUGCUUGCCCAGUAUGCCAGCACCUCACCCCCACCCUCCCUCACACCCCACCAUGCUCUCACCUCCCAAGCAUCUGUGAAUCUGUGUACUUCUAAAAUCUAUAUCAAGUCCUCUGGGUGAAGUGGUAAAUGUAGCCGUGGAAGGGUGAGCUGUGCAGGAUGUCUGAGAUGUAUCCUGCCAAAGUAGUUCAGAUCCAAUCCCUCCCGUGUAGAUAACAUACAUUCUCAUUAAACAUUUUCUAGUCAUCCAAAAAAAAAAAAAAAAAAGAAGAAGAAGAAGAAGAAAAGAAAUCAUUGAAAAUAGGGGUCUAAUAAACCAACUGGGGGCUUGAUCUAUUCAACACAUUUCUGAGCCCCACCCCCCCCACGGGGGAGUCAUGUUUGAAUAUCCAAACAACAGACCUGAAAACCACAUCACGGGUCCCGUGGGGGUAGCUGGGAGUUGGGAGAGAUGCGGUUAUCCAGUGAAGGUUUUGACUAUUUUGUCAGGGUCAAGUUAAGAAGGUUUUAGGAUUAAAAAAAUAUGUGGAAUAAAAAAAUUUGGAUUUGGGACCUUUCUGUGUUUUGUCACUCCUUGUCAUGUGAAGGAUCCAGAUCCGGAUCCAGCUUCAUGAUUAAUAAUGACCCCCUGUUCCUUUCCAUCCUCUGUCUCCACUCACACCGACAGUCCAUAAAUCUAGCCUCUUUGUAAGGAGGAAAGGAAUCAAGAAAACGAAUUCAUACAAAGGUGGGAGUGGAUGAUGUUUUAAACCUCUUAAUAUUUGAAAUCUAAGCAGUGUUUCAAAAAAAAAAAUAUUUGGUAACAUGGAUAUCUUAAUUGGUAAAAUUUCAUUUAGCUCAACAAAGUAUGGCUUAAAAAAAUAUUUCAAGCAAGCUUGGAGAGAGAUUUACUUUUUUCCUAAAGCAGUCAGUUUUCCCAAGCAGGUUUCAAAUUUUUAUGUGUAUUUAUGAUUCUUUUCAAAGGGAAUCUGGUCCAGAUAAGACUUAAGAUUGUAAAUGUCCCAACUUUCCCUUGGGUCUUGUACUGUUGAAAACUAGUUGACUUUUUUUUUUAAAGUUUAUUUAUUUUGAGAGAGAGAGAGAGAGGGAGAGAGAGACUCCCAAGCAGGCCCCAUGCUGUCAGUGCACAGCCUGGCAUGGGUCUCGAACCUACAAAUAGUGAGAACGUGACCUGAGCCGGAAUCAAGAGUCAGAUGCUCAACUGACUGAGCCACCCGGGUGCCCCAGAAAUCUAAUUGACUUUUCUUUUUUUUUUUUUGUUUUUAAGUGUUUGUUUAUUUUUGAGAGAGAGAGAGAGAGCAUGAGCAGGGGAGGGGCAGAGAAAGAGACACACACAGAAUCUGAAGCAGGCUCCAGGCUCCAAGCUGUCAGCACAGAGCCCAACACAGUGCCAGAACCCAUGAACUGGGAGGUCAUGAUCUGAGCCAAAGUUGGACACUUAACUGACUGAGCCACCCAGGUGCCCCUCUAGUUGACUUUUUUCUUUUUUAAGUGUGUUUAUUUUUGACAGAGGGAGAGAGAGAGAGACAGAGCAUGAGUGGGGGAGGGGCAGAGAGAGAGGGAGACGCAGAAGCAGGCUCCAGGCUCUGAGCUGUCAGCACAGAGCCCGACACGGGGCUCGAACUCAUGGACCGCGAGAUCAUGAUCUGAGCCGAAGUCGGAUGCUCAACCGACUGAGCCACCCAGGCGCCCCUAGUUGACUUUUCUUAAACAAGUAACUGGGUUUUAAGAAGAGCUCACGUGCAUUCACAUGUGUCUAAAAGGUGGCGUUCUCUUGGCCCCAGCUUGAAGUCCUGCUUUAUUUAUUAAGAGUGCUGGUUUUCCAAACUCUCACUUAAGAGGAACUUUAUGAAUCAUAAAAAUAAGGAAUAGGACUGAUGUAAUAGGAAAGGUGCUCUACAAAUGUCAUAGGAGCUGUGUCUAGUUCGUGUUCAAAGACAAUGUAAUAAUAGUUCUGUAUAAAGACACCAUAUGUGGUGCUCAAACUGUAGUUCAUCAGUUGAGAAAACAUGGACAUUCCUUACCCCUACCCCCAUCUUGAAAAGUGCUAUGAUAAGAGUUACUGGAGUUUACUGUUGUUUUGCUUUGUUUUUCCCUCUCGUUUUCUGUUUUUGAGCACUUUUUUUUUUUUUUUUAAAGCAUAACAGGACCAUAGAGAGAGAAUGCUGGGUCAUUUAUUGCAGUGUUUCUAAAUAAUUGGGUAACAUUGUGUCUCUGGCCUCUUAACUGCAUUUGCUUUUUGUAGGGCUGGGGGGUAGGGGUCCCCAAAGCUCAGAAUGCGGUCCCAGCGCGUAUACAAAACAUUGCGGCCUGGCCUCCUGAGCAUGGCGGUUACGGAGGGAUGAGCUUGUGAUUCCAUCCCCAGUGCCUCCUUCGAACCUUGUGCGGUUUCCCAGGGCAGGCGGCCUCGUGUGGGCUCUGACUGGGGCCCCAGGACAGAGCCUUUGACAGUCCCUUUCUCUCUCUCUGAUUGCUGAAGCUGGAGCGUGCCCUACAUCCUACAUGUGAGGGUUUUCCUUUCCACCUUCCAUGGAUCCCUUUGUAAAUUUGUGCUUCGAUCUAACCUUAAGUAUUAGACACAGAAACAAACGCAGGUCAUGGCGUGAGACCGUAGAAUGUCAAGACAGGACAUGGAAAAUGCCUCAUUUUUAUGCAUUUAUUUAUAAACCUCAUUGUAAAAAUAAUUUGGGGCAGCUUAAGGGGGCUGUAUAACAAGGAUAAAAUUUCUGAGUAGAAGGAAAAUAAGGAGAGGGCAAUCAAUGUAAAUCUGGGUGAGGUUAAUACCAGGACAUAUCUUAACGUCUUUGGCAGUCCCUUAAAAAGUUAGCUGCACAUUUGACCUCUUGCUUCCUGGCAGCCAAGCAAAAAAACAACAA